rnacentral:rRNA from 1 species
AUUGAACGCUGGCGGCAGGCCUAACACAUGCAAGUCGAGCGGAUGAAGAGAGCUUGCUCUCUGAUUCAGCGGCGGACGGGUGAGUAAUGCCUAGGAAUCUGCCUGGUAGUGGGGACAACGUUUCGAAAGGAACGCUAAUACCGCAUACGUCCUACGGGAGAAAGCAGGGGACCUUCGGGCCGUGCGCUAUCAGAUGAGCCCAGGUCGGAUUAGCUAGUAGGUGAGGUAAUGGCUCACCUAGGCGACGAUCCGUAACUGGUCUGAGAGGAUGAUCAGUCACACUGGAACUGAGACACGGUCCAGACUCCUACGGGAGGCAGCAGUGGGGAAUAUUGGACAAUGGGCGAAAGCCUGAUCCAGCCAUGCCGCGUGUGUGAAGAAGGUCUUCGGAUUGUAAAGCACUUUAAGUUGGGAGGAAGGGCAGUAAGUUAAUACCUUGCUGUUUUGACGUUACCAACAGAAUAAGCACCGGCUAACUUCGUGCCAGCAGCCGCGGUAACAC